rnacentral:rRNA from 1 species
AGUGAACGCUGGCGGUAGGCCUAACACAUGCAAGUCGAACGGCAGCACAGUAAGAGCUUGCUCUUACGGGUGGCGAGUGGAGGACGUGUGAGGAAUACAUCGGAAUCUACUUUUUCGGGGGGGAUAACGUAGGGAAACUUACGCUAAUACCGCAUACGACCUACGGGUGAAAGCAUGGGAUCUUCGGACCUUGCGCGAUUGAAUGAGCCGAUGUCGGAUUAGCUAGUUGGCGGGGUAAAGGCCCACCAAGGCGACGAUCCGUAGCUGGUCUGAGAGGAUGAUCAGCCACACUGGAACUGAGACACGGUCCAGACUCCUACGGGAGGCAGCAGUGGGGAAUAUUGGACAAUGGGCGCAAGCCUGAUCCAGCCAUACCGCGUGGGUGAAGAAGGCCUUCGGGUUGUAAAGCCCUUUUGUUGGGAAAGAAAAGCAGCAGGUUAAUACCCCGCUGUUCUGACGGUACCCAAGGAAUAAGCACCGGCUAACUUCGUG